rnacentral:lncRNA from 1 species
CUCAUGUGCCCUGGGGGACACUCUUUAUCUCCCAUGAAGCCUAGCAAAAUUGGUCAACCAUGUCUGACCAUGGACAUCCAAAGUUUCCUGCUCUACAGUCAUAAAUACCAAGUCUCACAGCUAAGACACUGACCUUGUAGCCAGAGUGACCCUACAAGGGGUAGACUCAGCAGAAACUGGGACAGACACCCCUGUAAUCAGAGAGGGAGACCGCUUACUCUGGUUUUCAGUUAAACUCAAACCGACUGGUACCACAGUGAACUCGUGGUCAGCUCCAGCGUGAGCUGGCAAUCUGUUGUGUGUUCAUUUCACACAUCACGCUCCUGUACUUCCUCCUGGGAAAAAGCCCAUGCUGCUCAGCUCACUGAUUCCUUAGUCCACUCUGCUGCUUCCUACUCACAGGCAUGCUAAAGCAUACGUCUUAAGCAACGAACCCCUCCACAGAGUGGCUCCUCACUACGGUGAGUGCAGCCAAUACCAGCCUUCCAUGCCGUCACAGUGGAGGAGACGCUGCUCACGUCAUGGCAGCGGGGCAGCGGAGAUCCGAGAGAGGAGCCGGGAGGGGAGAUGUACCCUCCCGGACACACACAGCAACCCGCUUGCUAACAAGGACGUCUAGAAUGCACUCAUUAUCCGAUCAUCUUGAGUGAUCUGGGCCACUUUAGAUCCGAACCAUAACAGUACUAGGCACUUCCCUGUCUUGAUUUAUGCAGCGUCUUUCACAGCAGAAGCAAGACUGAGCCUUGAAGGAAAACUAGAAGAAGAUACACAUAAUAAUGGAUCCCCCAGAGAUGCUCAUGUCGUUAUGCUGAGUGAAAGAGCCAGACACCAGAAGAGAAGUAGUUCGUGUGUCUACUUGCUUGAAAUGUCUGAGAGUCAAGUUCUCAAAUGCAGAUGUGGAAGAGAAGUUACCAAGAGCUGGGGAGGGGAAUAUGGAGCUAGAGCCUAAUGGGCACAGACUUUCUCUUUGGGGUGAGGAAAAAGCUUGGAAACAGAAAGAGGUGAUUGUUAUACAAUGUUGUGA